GUGAGGGUCCACCCGUUCCCAUCCCGAACACGGAAGUUAAGCUCACCUGCGCCGAAAAUACUUGUCUGGAGACGGACUGGGAAGAUAGGUAACGCCGACA
rnacentral:rRNA from 1 species